rnacentral:misc_RNA from 1 species
AGAUAAAGAUAAAGUAGGAAAUUACUAGUCCUAGCCUAAGUAGGAACAUGAUUGAGUCCUAGAUAGAAUAGGAAAGGCCUCAAAAUUAAUUCUGGAACAAUUACUGCUGCUGUAGCUUGCUAAACAGGGUGUCCAAAUUGACCUAGGACUGCUGGAGCAAAAUAAAUUAAUUAAAAAUCGUAGCUCCUCUCACUGCCCGCCCAAAUUUGCCUCAAACUUGUUGUUUUUCUCCUGUUUUCACUCCAGGAUGCCUCAUUUGUUUUUUCCUUUGAAACUUCUCCCUUUUUUCAAUAAAAUUAUCACCAAUACAUUUCACAUCAUUUUUUGAUGUGGGUCAUGUUGUAGUUAUGCUAUCAAGAG